rnacentral:rRNA from 1 species
UACGUAGGGUGCAAGCGUUUGUCCGGAAUUAUUGGGCGUAAAGAGCUCGUAGGCGGUUUGUCGCGUCGGCUGUGAAAACCUGGGGCUCAACCCCGGGCCUGCAGCCGAUACGGGCAAACUAGAAUUCGGUAGGGGAGGACUGGAAUUCCUGGUGUAGCGGUGGAAAUGACGCAGAUAUCAGGAGGAACACCGGUGGCGAAGGCGGGUCUCUGGGCCGAUAUUGACGCUGAGGAGCGAAAGCGUGGGGAGCGAACAGG